AUUGAACGCUGGCGGCAUGCUUUACACAUGCAAGUCGAACGGUAACAGGUUAAGCUGACGAGUGGCGAACGGGUGAGUAAUGCAUCGGAACGUGCCCGGUCGUGGGGGAUAACGCAGCGAAAGCUGCGCUAAUCCCGCAUACGAUCUGAGGAUGAAAGAGGGGGACCGUAAGGCUGCGCGCGAUCGGAGCGGCCGGUGUCAGAUUAGGUAGUUGGUGGGGUAAAGGCUAACCAAGCCGACGAUCUGUAGCUGGUCUGAGAGGACGACCAGCCACACUGGGACUGGGACACGGCCCAGACUCCUACGGGAGGCAGCAGUGGGGAAUUUUGGACAAUGGGCGCAAGCCUGAUCCAGCAAUGCCGCGUGCAGGAAGAAGGCCUUCGGGUUGUAAACUGCUUUUGUACGGAGCGAAAAGGCUCUCUCUAAUACAGGGGGCUCAUGACGGUACCGUAAGAAUAAGCACCGGCUAACUACGUGCCAGCCGCCGCCGUAAGAC
rnacentral:rRNA from 1 species